rnacentral:lncRNA from 1 species
AUUAAAUAAAGUCGAGUUGCUUUAGUCCAGUCAAUAUUCUCUUAACAUAAUGAGAGAUGUUUUCAUAAAAAUAUUAAUAGCAAUAUAAACAUUCUUUUGCUUUCUAAAAAAUAAUUAAUGAUUUUACCACAAAAAUAUGUGUACCACAAUCUGAAUGUAGACCUUUUUACAACUAUACUAAAAUACCUUUUUCUUGUUAACUAUGAAUGAAACUUAUUUCUCAUCAUUUAACAGUGGAAUAUUAUUCUUUAUUAGAAAUAUUAAAAAUAGAACAUGUGAAAGAUAUUUCUCAGUGAUGUACAAAACUGUCCUAACUGUACUAAAUGUACUUUUGUACGCUGGGGUGACUUGACUAAAUGAGUGUGUGUUUGGCAGAGUUACUGCUGAGUACAAAACAGAUACCAUAAACACAGUUUUCCACAGCGGCAGCACAGCUUGCUGCAGUAGUUAGCACACUGGCUUUAGGUAAGCACGCAUGUUGUUUAACUACUAGCUGUUCUGAAUUGGAGUUUAGUGGUUAAUGCUGUAACAAUGGCAGUAAGUUAUUUGAGUUCAUGUAGUAUCGUAAAGCGUAACUAAAGGAACAGUGUGAGGUCAAGGAUCAGACGACAAUAAAGGGGAAAGUUAUGCUGAGGAAAUCCAGAAAAAGACGUCCAAUACAAGACAAUGAAUGUGUACAGCUUCCUCUGGUCCCGCUGGUAAAAGAACAGAAUGAGAUCAUGCAGAAGGAGUCUAGUCCUUUCUACGCUGCUGACAUCAUCACUGAGCUCAAGAGACAGUUUGCUUUCCUGUCUGGUAAAUAUUUGUUUCAGAGGGAGUUUUCACAUUUGGUCCACUAAAAGGGAUAUGAGUUUGAUUUUUUUUUAAAGAGGAUUCAAGUAAGAACAUCUUGUAAGGACCCAUAAUUAUAUCUCAAUUUUGUCUCAUAGAAAGCAGAUGGAGACGUUUGCUUACACUUACACACGGAUAUAUUUCCUUAAAAAAGACCCCAGUAAUCAUACUCAUUCAUGUCCUCUUUAAAGAUUUAGAUCAGAUCUCAACAAGGUCUCAAACUGUGCUCACAAUAUUCAGUUCUUCAGAGACUAAAAUAUAAUAGGAGCUAUAUGCCAAGAGGAAUUUUACACAGCACAUUUCUAGUAUAUUACACUAAAACACACUAAAUCUCCAUGAAGGUAAUCAAAAAAUUGUAAUGUAAAAUAUAAUGCAAUAUAAAAGAGUUCUUCAAUAAGGUUCAUUAUUGUAACGUAACAGGUUAUAAAUGCUAGUGUGAAUGAACAUGAAAGAGUGUACUUGUGUUUGUGAUUUGUUAGUCAAAAAUCACCUUCCAUAAUUUCCUGCUUCUGUCUGAUAUAGAUGGCUGGAUAAUUCCUCUGAACAUGUAUGAAAAAUGUAAAAAUCAAGGGAAAGGAAAAACAUUUGUUGUGAGAUAUGGCCAUGUACAUACACUGCAGCUUUAAGGUAUUCAUCUGAAUAUGUGUUGUUUUUGAUGACAGGUUGUUACUGUUAAAAUGAACAGAGUAAACGAUGCUUGCACAAUUUCUGUCCUGUUGUCAUGGAGACAGGGAGAAGAAGGCAUGACUUGCCAAAUUUAUAUUUUUGUCACAUGGGGAUUUUCACCCAGUGGCUUUUUCUCUUUCUCUCCUCAUUCCAUCAUCACCGCCUUAAGACUGAAACAUCACCUUGUAUCUUCAUCCAGAUUUAAAGCAGCGAACAGAUAGGAAGAUCAGAGUGACAUUUUUGGAUCUCGCUUUGUUCAUUGGUAUAAUCAUAGUUUCUGUCCUGAGGGAAUACUGACAACACUAAUAUGUCGUACUCUCUGCAGUGCCUUCAUUUUGGCUGCAGUUUAUGGUUAUAUUUAUUAGUGUGACUUUUUGAGAAGAGGAGCAC